rnacentral:rRNA from 1 species
AUACGUAGGGGGCGAGCGUUGUCCGGAUUGAUUGGGCGUAAAGGGCGCGUAGGCGGCCCGGUAAGUCUGGAGUGAAAGUCCUGUUUUUAAGAUGGGAAUUGCUUUGGAUACUGUCGGGCUUGAGUGCAGGAGAGGUAAGUGGAAUUCCCAGUGUAGCGGUGAAAUGCGUAGAGAUUGGGAGGAACACCAGUGGCGAAGGCGACUUACUGGACUGUAACUGACGCUGAAGCGCGAAAGUGUGGGGAGCAAACAGGAUUAGAUACCCUGGUAGUCCACACUGUAAACGAUGAAUGCUAGGUGUAGGGGGUAUCGACCCCUUCUGUGCCGCAGUCAACACAAUAAGCAUUCCGCCUGGGGAGUACGGCCGCAAGGUUGAAACUCAAAUGAAUUGACGGGG